CUCUAAGGUUUUUUCUUCUUGCUUUAUUAUUAUUCAUUUUUUUAUUAUUGUUAAUAAUAAUAAUGAAUAUCGGAUCUUUUUGAUGAUGUUUGGUUUUUGAUUUGGAGAUGUUGGUUGUGAAUCUCUUUGCUUUAGUGGCGAUAAAUCAGCAUUCAAUGAUGUCGUGUAAAGAUGAGGUGAUGAGUUUGAUAUUUUGUUUCUUAGAAUCUGUGUUUUGAGCAUUUUUAGUUUCGAUGGGAAAAAGAAUUUGGGGCGAAUAAUAUGUGUACCUGAAACCAGAUCAACUUUCUGUUUAUUCUUACACAGGCAAUCAAAAUUCGUGCUUUUUCUAAAUUUUGGGUUCAUCAUUUACUACCUUCAGCGGUAGCAUGACUUACUUUAUUUUUCUUUUCCCAAUCUUAAUUUUUUUUGUUUGUUUCCUGCAUUUGCUGCCUUCAACAGUAGCAUGACUUAUUCUAUUUUUCUUUUCCCAAUUCAUAAUCUUUUUUUUUGUUUCCUCGUUAAUGCAUGAUGCAGUUUCUUUUCAACCAGAUUAUGGUAAGAAAUUUACGAAUAUCAAUCGAUAUUAUUUCCAAGAUUUAGUUUUUGCCUUCUUCAGAAGAUAAAUAUGGCUACCAUGAAUUGAUAUUAUUUCCAAUAAAUCGUCUUCUAUUUACGGAAUUUCCGGGCUUGGUCGAAUUCUAUAUAAAGCACUCGUACAAAGAUGAUGGUGAUAUAUCCUCGCAGCGAAGGAUGAAGCGAUGAACUUUUAUCUUUCAUAGUUCACAGUUUUUCUUUAAACAUCUUCUAUUACGCAACCAUAGUUUUUUUUAUUCCUUUAUUCCGUUUAUUGUUUAGUAUUUUUGUUCCUUUUAAUUUAUAUUUGGUUUUGUUUUGCAGUUGAUCGUAAUCGUUCCUCAUAGUCAAUAUUGAGACAAUAAAAUUAAAUUUGGACGUUUACUUUCGUACGAGUGUACAGGUACGUUCAAAAGAGUUUCAUGGGAAACUCGAAAGUGUUUAUGGGAAUCCUGAUCAAUUUCAGCAAGAGGUAUGCUCAAGCUUUUCAUGGGAAGCUCGAAAGUACUUAUGGGAAUCCUGAUAAAUUUUCGCAAGGAUUUGUGUCCGAAGGAGGAAUACAGUUAUAGGAGUAGUUCCGAGAUCUCCAAGGAUGGAUUCAGAAGAAGCAAGGGUAAAUCGUAACAUGAAUAGAGAUGUAAUCAUGUGAAGAGAUACCAAAGAUUUGAUUUGGGUACAGGUUGAGUUUGUCUGUAAUUCCUAAAUUAAAUACACAAAACAUAUAUCUCAACGAUGCCACGAUGAAGCGUCGGGCACGCGUGAGUAUCAUGCUUUUAGGUUGUAAGGAUAGUCAAGGGACGAACACUUAUCAGGGAUAGUCAUUUGUCCUUGAAAUAUGUAGUUGAUGCAGAAGGGAAUUUUCAUUUGGGAGCUGAUCAGAGAACUGACUUACGCAGGCUUUCCAACAAAGUUCAUUUGGGGAAAUAACCUGACACAAUGGAGUAGAAGAAAACAACAAAAUGGAUGAUAAGAAGAAGAAAAAAACGAAAUGAAUUUGGUAGACUCGGUUGUUCAGGAACUUGAAUCCUCAGUGUGCUAGAUGCAUCUAGCUUAUCAAAAAAAAAUAAAAAAAUAAUGUACAAUGCUCAUCCUACUGCAUGCAGUAGAAAGGUAUUUUCGUAUGCUGAACAUUUUCGAAGGACCGCGUAGCCCUGUGCAAGACUUAUAGAGAAGCACGUAUUGUACUUGGAUUAUUCCACUGUGACAGUGACAUCAAAUACUAAAAAUGCGUCGGUUUGGAU